UGGGGAAUAUUGCACAAUGGGGGAAACCCUGAUGCAGCGACGCCGCGUGAGCGAAGAAGGUUUUCGAAUCGUAAAGCUCUGUCCUAUGAGAAGAUAAUGACGGUAUCAUAGGAGGAAGCCCCGGCUAAAUACGUGCCAGCAGCCGCGGUAAUACGUAUGGGGCGAGCGUUGUCCGGAAUUAUUGGGCGUAAAGGGUACGUAGGCGGUCUAUUAAGUCAGGUGUGAAAGCGUGAGGCUUAACCUCAUUAAGCACUUGAAACUGAUAGACUUGAGUGAAGGAGAGGAAAGUGGAAUUCCUAGUGUAGCGGUGAAAUGCGUAGAUAUUAGGAGGAAUACCGGUGGCGAAGGCGACUUUCUGGCCUGCAACUGACACUGAGGCGCGAAAGCGUGGGGAGCAAACAGG
rnacentral:rRNA from 1 species